rnacentral:rRNA from 1 species
GACGUAGGGCGCGAGCGUUGUCCGGAUUUAUUGGGCGUAAAGAGCGUGUAGGCGGCCAGAUAGGUCUGCUGUGAAAACUCGAGGCUCAACCUCGAGAUGUCGGCGGAAACCAUUUGGCUAGAGUCCGGAAGAGGAAAGUGGAAUUCCUGGUGUAGCGGUGAAAUGCGCAGAUAUCAGGAAGAACACCCGUGGCGAAGGCGGCUUUCUGGGGACGGUACUGACG